rnacentral:tRNA from 1 species
GCAUUGGUGGUUCUGUGGUAGAAUUCUUGCCUUCUACACGAGAGAUGUGGGUUUGAUUCCUGACCAAUACA